rnacentral:rRNA from 1 species
GCUAGUAAUCGCGAAUCAGAAUGUCGCGGUGAAUACGUUCCCGGGUCUUGUANACACCGCCCGUCACACCACGAGAGUUUACAACACCCGAAGUCAGUGGCCUAACCGCAAGGAGGGAGCUGCCUAAGGUGGGGUAGAUGAUUGGGGUGAAGUCGUAACAAGGUACC